UACGGGGGGGGCAAGCGUUGUUCGGAAUUACUGGGCGUAAAGCGCGCGUAGGCGGCUUUUCAAGUCAGGCGUGAAAGCCCCAGGCUUAACCUGGGAACUGCGUUUGAUACUGUUAAGCUAGAGUGUGGAAGGGGCUACUGGAAUUCUCGGUGUAGCGGUGAAAUGCGUAGAUAUCGAGAGGAACACCUGCGGCGAAGGCGGGUAGCUGGGCCGACACGUGACGCUGAUGCGCGAAAGCCAGGGGAGCGAACGGG
rnacentral:rRNA from 1 species